UACGGAGGGGGCUAGCGUUGUUCGGAAUUACUGGGCGUAAAGCGCACGUAGGCGGCUUUGUAAGUUAGAGGUGAAAGCCCGGGGCUCAACUCCGGAACUGCCUUUAAGACUGCAUCGCUAGAAUUGUGGAGAGGUGAGUGGAAUUCCGAGUGUAGAGGUGAAAUUCGUAGAUAUUCGGAAGAACACCAGUGGCGAAGGCGACUCACUGGACACAUAUUGACGCUGAGACGCGAAAGCGUGGGGAGCAAACAGG
rnacentral:rRNA from 1 species